rnacentral:rRNA from 1 species
AACGAACGCUGGCGGCAGGCUUAACACAUGCGAGUCGAACGCCCCGCAAGGGGAGUGGCGCCCGGGUGAGUAACGCGUGGAUAUCUGCCUUUUGGUUCGGAAUAACCCCGGGAAACUGGGGCUAAUACCGGAUGGUUCCUACGGGAUAAAGAUUUAUCGCCAAAAGAUGAGUCCGCGUACGAUUAGCUAGUUGGUGAGGUAAUGGCUCACCAAGGCGACGAUCGUUAGCUGGUCUGAGAGGACGAUCAGCCACACUGGGACUGAGACACGGCCCAGACUCCUACGGGAGGCAGCAGUGGGGAAUAUUGGACAAUGGGGGCAACCCUGAUCCAGCCAUGCCGCGUGAGUGAUGAAGGCCUUCGGGUUGUAAAGCUCUUUUGGCGGGGACGAUGAUGACGGUACCCGCAGAAUAAGCCCCGGCUAACUUCGUG